rnacentral:sRNA from 1 species
CAGUGACGAGGUCCGCUACGUAAAUCCCUUUGCGGCGGGAUAAAUAAAGAAAACGGGAAAGGAGGAAAGCAUUGAUUACAAAUGUCUUAACAAUGAGCAAAUGUGCAAGGAAAAAAUAUAUUAAGACAAAUCUAAGGUAGCAACAAUUGCAGAGACAGAUGAAUCUGCAGAAUCAGAAGGUGUAAUUGAUUCUCAUAAACGUAGAGAAAUCCUUUCACGAAGACCCUCUUAUAGGAAAAUACUGAAUGAACUGUCCUCUGAUGUGCCUGGUGUUCCCAAGAUUGAAGAAGAAAGAUCAGAGGAAGAAGGAACACCACCUAGCAUUGCUACCAUGGCAGUACCAACUAGCAUAUAUCAGACUAGCACGGGGCAAUACAGUAUGUAUGCUGCAAUUCGAUAUGAUACAGUGCUAGCUUUAAGUCUUCUCUAGUUAUAUUGAAGCAACUCAGGUUUUGGCAUUAAAUUGUUCCAUUUUAAAAUGCAUCACUAAUACCUAAACUGUAUCAUAGAAUGAAAGUAUAUGUUAAAAAGUGAGAUAUUUGUAUUGACGGCUGUCAUAUAAU